rnacentral:rRNA from 1 species
GAUGAACGCUGGCGGCGUGCUUAACACAUGCAAGUCGAACGAAGCACCUUGGACAGAUUCUUCGGAUGAAGUCCUUAGUGACUGAGUGGCGGACGGGUGAGUAACGCGUGGGUAACCUGCCUCAUACAGGGGGAUAACAGUUAGAAAUGGCUGCUAAUACCGCAUAAGCGCACGGUACUGCAUGGUACAGUGUGAAAAACUCCGGUGGUAUGAGAUGGACCCGCGUUGGAUUAGCUAGUUGGCAGGGUAACGGCCUACCAAGGCGACGAUCCAUAGCCGGCCUGAGAGGGUGGACGGCCACAUUGGGACUGAGACACGGCCCAGACUCCUACGGGAGGCAGCAGUGGGGAAUAUUGCACAAUGGGGGAAACCCUGAUGCAGCGACGCCGCGUGAGCGAAGAAGUAUUUCGGUAUGUAAAGCUCUAUCAGCAGGGAAGAAAA